rnacentral:rRNA from 1 species
GAUGAACGCUGGCGGCGUGCCUAAUACAUGCAAGUCGAGCGAACAGACGAGGAGCUUGCUCCUCUGACGUUAGCGGCGGACGGGUGAGUAACACGUGGAUAACCUACCUAUAAGACUGGGAUAACUUCGGGAAACCGGAGCUAAUACCGGAUAAUAUAUUGAACCGCAUGGUUCAAUAGUGAAAGACGGUUUUGCUGUCACUUAUAGAUGGAUCCGCGCCGCAUUAGCUAGUUGGUAAGGUAACAGCUUACCAAGGCAACGAUGCGUAGCCGACCUGAGAGGGUGAUCGGCCACACUGGAACUGAGACACGGUCCAGACUCCUACGGGAGGCAGCAGUAGGGAAUCGUCCGCAAUGGGCGAAAGCCUGACGGAGCAACGCCGCGUGAGUGAUGAAGGUCUUCGGAUCGUAAAACUCUGUUAUUAGGGAAGAACAAAUGUGUAAGUAACUAUGCACGUCUUGACGGUACCUAAUCAGAAAGCCACGGCUAACUACGUG